UGAAACUGAGGCUCAGAGACUGAAAGUUAAAUGCCUCAGGUUGCAGUUAAUAAGAGGCAGAGCUGGAACUGAAACCUUAUGUGUCUUACAACCAGUGGAUGUUCUGACAGUAGGCUAGUUUACUUCAGAGCAUGGAAUAGAUGGUGUGUGCCUGCUAGGAUGGACCAGGUAUCACUGUAGGUGGAGUUUGUCCCAGAGCUGCACAAAAUCAGCAGCAGCAUGAUCAAACAAGGUAAACUUCAGAAAAAGCAGCUUGUUCAGAUGUGAUCAGCAGUGAACUCAGAAUCAGCUGAGUGGCAUUGAAUUCCUUGGACAUCCCUGGGAGCUCAACCAUGAGGGUCAACUUGGUUUUCUCCCCCUCAUUAGGGUUCAGAAUUAAAAGUC